UCGAACGGCAGCGCGAGAGAGCUUGCUCUCUUGGCGGCGAGUGGCGGACGGGUGAGUAAUAUAUCGGAACGUGCCCAGUAGCGGGGGAUAACUACUCGAAAGAGUGGCUAAUACCGCAUACGCCCUACGGGGGAAAGGGGGGGAUCGCAAGACCUCUCACUAUUGGAGCGGCCGAUAUCGGAUUAGCUAGUUGGUGGGGUAAAGGCUCACCAAGGCAACGAUCCGUAGCUGGUUUGAGAGGACGACCAGCCACACUGGGACUGAGACACGGCCCAGACUCCUACGGGAGGCAGCAGUGGGGAAUUUUGGACAAUGGGGGAAACCCUGAUCCAGCCAUCCCGCGUGUAUGAUGAAGGCCUUCGGGUUGUAAAGUACUUUUGGCAGAGAAGAAAAGGUAUCCCCUAAUACGGGAUACUGCUGACGGUAUCUGCAGAAUAAGCACCGGCUAACUACGUGCCAGCAGCCGCGGUAAUACGUAGGGUGCAAGCGUUAAUCGGAAUUUACUGGGCGUAAAGCGUGUGUAGGCGGUUCGGAAAAGAAAGAUGUGAAAUCCCAGGGCUCAACCUUGGAACUGCAUUUUUAACUGCCGAGCUAGAGUAUGUCAGAGGGGGGUAGAAUUCCACGUGUAGCAGUGAAAUGCGUAGAUAUGUGGAGGAAUACCGAUGGCGAAGGCAGCCCCCUGGGAUAAUACUGACGCUCAGACACGAAAGCGUGGGGAGCAAAACAGGAUUAGAUACCCUGGUAGUCCACGCCCUAAACGAUGUCAACUAGCUGUUGGGGCCGUUAGGCCUUAGUAGCGCAGCUAACGCGUGAAGUUGACCGCCUGGGGAGUACGGUCGCAAGAUUAAAACUCAAAGGAAUUGACGGGGACCCGCACAAGCGGUGGAUGAUGUGGAUUAAUUCGAUGCAACGCGAAAAACCUUACCUACCCUUGACAUGUCUGGAAAGCCGAAGAGAUUUGGCCGUGCUCGCAAGAGAACCGGAACACAGGUGCUGCAUGGCUGUCGUCAGCUCGUGUCGUGAGAUGUUGGGUUAAGUCCCGCAACGAGCGCAACCCUUGUCAUUAGUUGCUACGCAAGAGCACUCUAAUGAGACUGCCGGUGACAAACCGGAGGAAGUGGGGAUGACGUCAAGUCCUCAUGGCCCUUAUGGGUAGGGCUUCACACGUCAUACAAUGGUCGGGACAGAGGGUCGCCAACCCGCGAGGGGGAGCCAAUCUCAGAAACCCGAUCGUAGUCCGGAUCGCAGUCUGCAACUCGACUGCGUGAAGUCGGAAUCGCUAGUAAUCGCGGAUCAGAAUGUCGCGGUGAAUACGUUCCCGGGUCUUGUACACACCGCCCGUCACACCAUGGGAGUGGGUUUCACCAGAAGUAGGUAGCCUAACCGUAAG
rnacentral:rRNA from 1 species